rnacentral:tRNA from 1 species
GAGGGUAUAGCUUAUUGGUAGAAUUCAUGCUUAGCAUGAAUGAGGUUCUGGGUUCAAUACCCAGUACUUCCA